rnacentral:lncRNA from 1 species
CAAUACAAAUGCUGAUUUUGAACAAUAGUUACAAAGUCCAACCAAAUCCUACAAAAAUAAGUCUGAUGUCUCUAAAACAAAUUUUAAGCUAGCUCUUCAAUUCUAAUCACCAAUCUUCAAAUGAAACCCUAUUUUAUCCUAGGCAAUAAUUUUAAUAGCCAAAGGUCUGAUUUCAUUCCUAUCUCACAAAUAGUAGACCCCCAAAUAUUACUCUAACCUACCUUAGGAACUUUUUAGUCUAAUCUUACCU